rnacentral:rRNA from 1 species
GCACAGUAAACGAUGAAUACUUGCUCUUGGCGAUAUACAGUCAGGGGCAAAGCGAAAGCGAUAAGUAUUCCACCUGGGGAGUACGCCGGCAACGGUGAAACUCAAAGGAAUUGACGGGGGCCCGCACAAGCGGAGGAACAUGUGGUUUAAUUCGAUGCUACGCGAGGAACCUUACCCGGGCUUGAAAGUUACCGACGGAGGCUGAAAGGUCUCUUCCCUUCGGGGCGGGAAACUAGGUGCUGCAUGGUUGUCGUCAGCUCGUGCCGUGAGGUGUCGGCUUAAGUGCCAUAACGAGCGCAACCCUUUUCUCCAGUUGCCAUCAUUUGGUUGGGGACUCUGGAGACACUGCCAUCGUAAGAUGUGAGGAAGGAUGGGAUGACGUCAAAUCAGCACGGCCCUUACGUCCGGGGCGACACACGUGUUACAAUGGGCAGGACAGCGAGGAACGAUGCAGCGAUGCUGAGGGAAUCUCUAAACCUGCUCCCAGUUCGGAUUGGAGUCUGCAACCCGACUCCAUGAAGCUGGAUUCGCUAGUAAUCGCGCAUCAGCCAUGGCGCGGUGAAUACGUUCCCGGGCCUUGUACACACCGCCCGUCAAGCCAUGAAAGCCGGGGGUACCUGAAGUUUGGUGUAAGCAGCCGACCUAGGGUAAAACUGGUAAUUGGGGCU